rnacentral:rRNA from 1 species
CUAAUACCGUAUACGCCCUACGGGGGAAAGAUUUAUCGGAAUUGGAUGAGCCCGCGUAAGAUUAGCUAGUUGGUGGGGUAAUGGCCUACCAAGGCGACGAUCUUUAGCUGGUCUGAGAGGAUGAUCAGCCACACUGGGACUGAGACACGGCCCANACUCCUACGGGAGGCAGCAGUGGGGAAUAUUGGACAAUGGGCGCAAGCCUGAUCCAGCCAUGCCGCGUGAGUGAUGAAGGCCUUAGGGUUGUAAAGCUCUUUCANUAGGGAAGAUAAUGACGGUACCUACAGAAGAAGCCCCGGCUAACUUCGUGCCAGCAGCCGCGGUAAUACGAAGGGGGCUAGCGUUGUUCGGAUUUACUGGGCGUAAAGCGCACGUAGGCGGGUUGUUAAGUCAGGGGUGAAAUCCUGGAGCUCAACUCCNGAACUGCCUUUGAUACUGGCAAUCUAGAGUCCGGAAGAGGUGAGUGGAACUCCUAGUGUANAGGUGGAAUUCGUAGAUAUUANGAAGAACACCAGUGGCGAAGGCGGCUCACUGGUCCGGUACUGACGCUGAGGUGCGAAAGCGUGNGGAGCAAACAGGAUUAGAUACCCUGGUAGUCCACGCCGUANACUAUGAGAGCUAGCCGUUGGACGGUUUACCGUUCAGUGGCGCAGCUAACGCAUUAAGCUCUCCGCCUGGGGAGUACGGUCGCAAGAUUAAAACUCA